rnacentral:rRNA from 1 species
GGGCCGCAAGGCCAGUGGCGCAAGGGUGAGUAAGGCGACGGUAACCAACCCCACGAAUGGGUAUAGCCGCGGGAAACUGCGGGUAAUCCCCAGCGACGCAGCGGGCCGGCAUCGGCCUGCUGCCAAAGCUCCGGCGUCGUGGGACGGGCCGUCGUGGUAUUAGGUUGUUGGCGGGGUAACGGCCCACCAAGCCUGCGAUGCCUACCGGGCGUGCGAGCGUGGCCCGGCACACUGGGACUGAGACACUGCCCAGACUCCUACGGGAGGCUGCAGUCGAGAAUCUUCGGCAAUGGGCGCAAGCCUGACCGAGCGACGCCGCGUGGAGGAUGAAGGCCUUCGGGUUGUAAACUCCUGUCGAGGGGGAAGAAGGUCCGCAAGGGCUUGACUGAUCCCUGGAGGAAGCACGGGCUAAGUUCGUGCCAGCAGCCGCGGUAAGACGAACCGUGCGAACGUUAUUCGGAAUCACUGGGCUUAAAGCGCGUGUAGGUGGGACGGUACGUCCGACGCUGAAAUCCCCCGGCUCAACCGGGGAACGGGCGCGGAUACGGCCGGCCUCGAGGAACGUAGGGGGAGCUGGAACUUCCGGUGGAGCGGUGAAAUGCGUUGAGAUCGGAAGGAACGCCCGUGGCGAAAGCGAGCUCCUGGACGUUUUCUGACACUGAGACGCGAAAGCCAGGGGAGCGAACGGGAUUAGAUACCCCGGUAGUCCUGGCCGUAAACGAUGGGCACUGGGUAGGGGGCUCGCCGAUGGGCUCCCUGCCGUAGGGAAACCGUGAAGUGCCCCGCCUGGGGAGUAUGGUCGCAAGGCUG